rnacentral:rRNA from 1 species
ACGGUCCUAAGGUAGCGAAAUUCCUUGUCGGGUAAGUUCCGACCUGCACGAAUGGCGUAACGAUCUCCACACUGUCUCGGCCAGAGACUCGGUGAAAUUGCAGUCGCGGUGAAAAUUCCGUGUACCCGCAGAAAGACGGAAAGACCCUGUGCACCUUUACUAUAGCUUGACAUUGGAUUUUGGGCCUGCAUGUGUAGGAUAGGUGGGAGGCUGUGAACCCUGUACGCCAGUAUGGGGGGAGCCAUCCUUGAAAUACCACCCUUGCAUGUUUAAGAUCCUAACUUCUUCCGGUUAUCCCGGAGAAAGACAGUGUCUGGCGGGUAGUUUGACUGGGGCGGUCGCCUCCUAAAGUGUAACGGAGGCAUGCAAAGGUUCCCUCAGCCUGAUCGGAAACCAGGCGCUGAGUGCAAACGCAUAAGGGAGCUUGACUGUAAGAGAGACAUCUCGAACAGGAACGAAAGUUGGCGUUAGUGAUCCGGUGGUCCCGAAUGGAAGGGCCAUCGCUCAUUGGAUAAAAGGUACGCCGGGGAUAACAGGCUGAUCGCAUCCAAGAGUUCACAUCGACGAUGCGGUUUGGCACCUCGAUGUCGGCUCAUCACAUCCUGGGGCUGAAGCAGGUCCCAAGGGUACGGCUGUUCGCCGUUUAAAGUGGUACGCGAGCUGGGUUUAAAACGUCGUGAGACAGUUUGGUCCCUAUCUUCUGUGGGCGUUGGAGAAUUGAAAGGGCCUGUCCCUAGUACGAGAGGACCGGGAUGGACGCACCCCUGGUGGACCUGUUGUCGUGCCAACGGCAUAGCAGGGUAGCUAUGUGCGGAAGGGAUAACCGCUGAAAGCAUCUAAGCGGGAAGCCUGCCUCAAGAUAAGUUCUCCCCUCGAAAGAGCUGAAGGGCCCGGGUAGACUACCCGGUCGAUAGGCUGGAGGUGUAAGCGCGGCGACGUGCUCAGCUGACCAGUACUAAUAGCCCGAGCGGCUUAUUUUU